rnacentral:rRNA from 1 species
GUCCAGACUCCUACGGGAGGCAGCAGUGGGGGAUAUUGGACAAUGGGGGGAACCCUGAUCCAGCGACGCCGCGUGAGUGAAGAAGUAUCUCGGUAUGUAAAGCUCUAUCAGCAGGGAAGAAAGAAAUGACGGUACCUGAGUAAGAAGCCCCGGCUAACUACGUGCCAGCAGCCGCGGUAAUACGUAGGGGGCAAGCGUUAUCCGGAAUUACUGGGUGUAAAGGGAGCGUAGACGGUGAAGUAAGUCUGGAGUGAAAGGCGGGGGCUCAACCCCGCGGACUGCUUUUGAAACUGUCAGGCUGGAGUACAGGAGAGGUAAGCGGAAUUCCUAGUGUAGCGGUGAAAUGCGUAGAUAUUAGGAGGAACACCAGUGGCGAAGGCGGCUUACUGGACUGUAACUGACACUGAGGCACGAAAGCGUGGGGAGCAAACAGGAUUAGAUACCCGUGUA